ACGCUCGACACCUACGAGAGGCAGCAGUGGGGAAUAUUGGGCAAUGGGCGAAAGCCUGACCCAGCAACGCCGCGUGAGGGAAGAAGGUUUUCGGAUUGUAAACCUCUGUCCUCAGGGACGAAGGACGUGACGGUACCUGAGGAGGAAGCCCCGGCUAACUACGUGCUAGCAGCCGCGGUAAUCUGAGCGGGCUGGCAAGGC
rnacentral:rRNA from 1 species